CCUUUGCCUGGUGCUCGGUGCCUGGCAUCCAGUGUAAUUUCCUCUUCAUCACGACCACUGCGGUCCGCACCAUUAGCAUUUUUACUGCAGCAGGGGCAACACUUGGUGGGAGUGUGUGUGUGGGUCGCUUCAGGUCUUAUUAUGCAGGGAAUGGGGAAGACAGAGCGAGGGGAGCAGGGCCGAGACAUCGACCUGACAUCGCUGAGAUCCACCAUGCCGGCUGGCGGCCCUCUGCAGGGCGGUUCUAACCUGAACAUGAACCUGUAUGCCACCAAGAAGUCUGCAGCCGAGGGCAUGUUGGACAUCGCUCUGUUCCUGGCCAACAUCACACACAUGAAGACUGUCAUCGAACAGGGAGCUGGAUACAGGUACUACGCUGCUGUUCUGACGCUCAUCUCCUUCUCCCUGGCUCUUCAGAUAGUUGCUGGAGUCCUGAUCAUCGUCAUCGCUCGUUUUGAACUGACCCUCCUCCCCUCCUGUCAGCGUUGUUUAAACUUCCUGAACAAUGUGAUCACAGGCAUCAUCUUCCUCACCCUCAUCGUCAACAUCAUUAAAUCGGCCUUCGGCACACAACGCAGCUGCUUGCUGCGCUGGAUGUUUCAGCGUUUCAUCUUAUGAGACAUUCACACUCUGUGUGUUCACUCACCAAAUUCUGUUUAUUAGAGUUAGCCCGCAGGGACCUGAACGUGGUGUCCAAUCAGAAACGACUCGACUACCUGAACAACGUUGCCACAGGCGUCAUCUUCGUCACCACGGUGACAAACUUCUUCGUCAGCUUCUUUGGGUCCAAGAGGACAGGCUUCUUCCGCUGGCUGCUGGCUCGACUCCACUUCUGACACACACACACACACACACACACACACACACACACACACACACAUUUGUCAAAUCAAAGUUAAAAUAAAGUAAAAAGUUGUUUGUGCACUUGUAAUUUGUAUGAAGUUGGGAGACAUAAGUCACAUAUGUAAAAACUUCUUUUUUGGUUAUUUAUUAUUCUGUCUUUGACGUGUGUUGUUUCAUUUAUGUUUUCAUGCCAUAAUCCAACUAAAAUAUUUCACAAUAACCAACUGAGCAUCUCUUUUGAAUAUGCAUUCCUAUAUUUACUGCAAUUGCAUGCUUUCAUUUUCAUUUCCAAAACUGUGUAUGGAUUCCACUGUGUGUUUUAUAAUAUUUACACUUGACAUGUGUUGAAAUGAAAGAUUGAGAAAAGUUGAUGCAAACUUUAAUGUUUUAUAUUAUUUAUUCUCAAAGGUUUUUUUGGUUUUUAAGAUUCAAUCUCAAACAGAUACAAGGGCAGUCAGUACAUAUAUGAGGCGUACGUACACAUUGUCCUUCAGAAAGAUGAAUAAAUGUAAUGAUUUAACAGAAGCCAGUGAUGCUUACUGUGGUUUUUGCUGAAGGUGAAAUGGUGACUGCGACUAGUCAACUGCCAAAUAAUACAGAGGAUCUGAUAUCAGAAACUAUAGUGUGUGUGUGUGCACAGAGAUAAGCUCUUAUGAAUCUAUGACUCUUAGCACAUGUGAGGAACUAAAAUGUGGAGAUCUAAUUAUCAUCCUGCUGAAGUGCAUGAACUAAACAUGCACAUAUUAGAUUCUAAACACUGAGCUAUAGAUUCAAGUGUUCUGUCUGCAAAUAGAUCCCUUGACCCUGGGCUGUCAGUGACCGUCCUAUGACUCAACUCAUGUGGGGACUUGUCUCAAGGUCACAGUAUGUCUCUAAGUGUGUGUGUCUGCCACAGGACGCCGGGACCUGAAUAACUCUGCUCUCCAGAAGCGUCUGGACUACCUGAACAACGUGACGACCGUCAUAGUCUUCAUCACCACAGUCCUCAACUUCUUCAUCAGUACCUUUGGCAUGCAGCGCACUGGACACUUCCCAUGGCUCAUGAUGCGCUUUCACUGACCCACACACACACACUUCUGCUAACUAAUACACUUACACACUGACUCACAACUCAUUAUAUACAUACAUGCAUAGAGAGCGCUUUUUGCUUGAAUUUUUGACUUUUUGAUGUGUAACUUAAGAAUAUCAGAUUUCUAACAGAACUGCCAUGUCUCACAUGUUUAUUAACGUAAAAAAGAUUUCACAGCCUCAAUAUAAAUGUGUGUAAUACACUAAAGUAGACACAACAAACACAUACAUGCAACUAUUAUUGUUGAUCUUCAGCAUAAGAUGUGUUCUGCAUUUGUGACAAUUAUAAAGCUGCUGUAUCCAAAAAAAAUAGAAACAGAAUCAAUAAUAAAGCUGUUGUAUCUAAAAUAGAAUUAGAUUUGAAUUUUAAUAAAAUACAAUUUACAUUUUUUCAAACAGUAGCAGUAAGGAUUAAGCAAACAAAUUAAAUAAAAUGUAAGUAAAAUCAUUUAUAUUGAGACUGUCUACAUUAUGCAAUACUUGUUUUUGAACAGCAGGUGGCACUAUUGUCUAACAAUUGUAUGCUGGUCUGUUCUGAACGAGCCAGGAGGAAACAAUAAGAACUGAUCCCAGGCAUCAAGAAAACUAAAUUAAAUUCAGCCACUGUCACAUUACAUUACUUACAUCUGUGGAGAUGAAGCAAAUUUGCACUUGACAUCACUAAACAUCCACUUUUUCUCUUGGUAUCAGGGAUCUUGUUCAUUUGUUAUUUCUUUGAGUCUGAGUGUUAAAUGUGAGCAGAUAAUAAAUAGAUCUGUGUGUGUGCUCUGAAACGUUGCAUAUGGUACUUCCAUCAAUAAUUUCAUGAAUCCCUCAUCUUUUAAAGUAUUGUUUUAUUUUGAAUGUUGAAACACCCUCCAAUCACGCAUGGCCAAAAAAUAUCAGAUUUAAAAGUGUUUGCUCUGUAUUAUGCACCAGAUAUGUGUUACUUAUCCUUAAUAAAACUGUGUUUGUCAAA